ensembl:rRNA 5S_rRNA 5S ribosomal RNA
UCUAUGGCCGGACCACCCCGAAUGCGCCCCAAUCCCGACUGACCUCAGAAGCUAAGCAGGGUCGUGCCUGGUUAGUACUUGGAUGGGAGAAGUACCCAAGAGAAGAGAACCCAAGAGAGAA